rnacentral:lncRNA from 1 species
AGGCAUAUGGAUGUUUGAAGGCUAAUAACACCUCAGUCCAGAGAUGGACACUCUAUAUGAAAUAUGGUAUGGUCCAUAUUAUGCUGCAUGGGCCUUCCAAUCUAAUUCUAGAAAUAUUUUCUAAAAAUUACUACAUAUUAUGAAUGAUGUACCAUCUAUAUCUGCUACUAGUACCCCAUAUGAGAUAUGAAAAAUAAAGAGGCAUGUUAUCCAGCUUAUGUGAAAAGAGUUGAUGUAUAUAAGCUUUCA